AUGACUGACGUCAGACUUGGUGAAAGCUUCCAGCAGCGCUGACCUGUUCCAGUGCUUUCAGUUUUCCUAUUUAUCUAACUUUGCAGCAAGUAGAGGCCAUUUUAUAGCAUGCUGCUCUUCAGUCUGGUGAUUUCGGAAAAUAGGUGCUCCUGCAUCAAUGCCACCUCAGAAGUCAGCAUUAAAUGAUCAAAUUGUUACUGCAGCAUGAAAGAUGUUCAGGAUUUGUGCUGUACAGAAGAAUUGAGCAAGAUUUUGUAGACCAGUGACGGAUGAUUUGCAAAAUAGAAACAGAGCAGUGGCAGUGUGAGUGACGUGGCCUUAGACUGCUUCCAUCCCCACCCACAGCUUGUGCUGUAUGAGAGAAUAUGGUGAGAGAAUUCUGGCUUGCGCUGCAAAACAGAAAAAUGUCUUCAUGCUGCAUGGCUUUUUUUACAUUGCUCAGCUGUCACACUUGUUCAGUUCAGUCUGCGUGUGCUCAUGCAGGGGAUGAUUUAACACAGAAACUGCUGGUAAAGGAACAGCACAGGAGAGCCAAAGCCUUCAGAGUGGCUCCUCCACACCAGGGUAUCUGAGCACAGUGCUUGGGAACAGGCAGGUCUUGCACACCACUGUUAGCUCAGUGUUCAGAAUUCUGUGGGGCAGUAAUUCCAUGCUGGGCAGAUGCAGCCCCAGUGGGAUGUGCAGGAGGUCAUGGACCCUCAUCCUUUAAUUCUUUUAACCAGUUACUGUCUGUCAGUUGGGUUGGGCAGCAUGUUAAAAACAUCCAGAUGUCCAGGGGAAAGUGUGAAAAAAGAGCAAGUGUUGUUAACACUGUUUGCUGCUGAGAACUGUCCAUUAAUUUUUCAUCUGUAUUUUCAGCAGUAUUUCCCUGUAAUAGUUCAGGCUGCACUGCCAAGUCAUGUGUGGCACAGACAGUUUCUUGCUGCUUGAAGCUUGCUUGGCAAAAGGACUGAAGAUCCUUUGGGAUGUGUUCUUGUCUGGUACAGCAGUGUGCAGAAAUUAGAAAAGCAGCUCUCUGUGCUCAUUUCUUAAAAUUGGCCUUUUAGGCAGAGGAAGGCUUGUCCCUUACUGCUUGCCUUGCUAUUCUCUUAGCUCUGUGUCCUGGGCAUUGGGUACCACACAAAGGAAGUGCAGAGCUGAUGUUUGAUGGAGGUGUUGUGCCUUUACUACCUGUUGUAAUAAAGUGUGGGCAGAGGCAGUGCUCUGAGCUGUGCCUGCCCAUGGGGGACAGCUCAAAACCAGAAAUCCUGCAGUUGGCACAGGAGGGGCUGUCAUGGGGUGUGGGUGAAGUGUUUGCAGGUGCUGUGUUUGAUCCCCCCUGUCAGAGCAGGCUCUGUGCACCAGGAGCUGUUACCAGGCUGCACAAGGCACGUGCUCCUGCAGCCUCCAGUGAAAACUUGGGCACGUAAAUGGCUGGCAUCUGUUCAGAUCCUUACUGAGGAAAUUCGGUGUUUAUUGGAGAGCACUGAGGGAGAAAAUGGAGGUGUGGCUUCCAGAGUCUUGGAGAUUAAACUAACUCCUCUGCUCCCUGCGUUUUCCACUCUCUGUGCCUGCUGUGGUGGCUUAUUGAGCUGUUGGUGCAGGUGUGCUUUAAAUUCAUUGUGGAGGGUUCUGGGUUAAGAAAACACCACUGGAUUAAACCAACUCUGGCAAAAAAAAAAAAAAGAAAA